UACGGGGGGGGCAAGCGUUGUUCGGAAUUACUGGGCGUAAAGGGCUCGUAGGCGGCCAACUAAGUCAGACGUGAAAUCCCUCGGCUUAACCGGGGAACUGCAUCUGAUACUGGAUGGCUUGAGUUCGGGAGAGGGAUGCGGAAUUCCAGGUGUAGCGGUGAAAUGCGUAGAUAUCUGGAGGAACACCGGUGGCGAAGGCGGCAUCCUGGACCAACACUGACGCUGAGGAGCGAAAGCCAGGGGAGCAAAGCGGG
rnacentral:rRNA from 1 species